rnacentral:snRNA from 1 species
UGAUGUGGUAGGAAUUCUUCUCACACCUGCUGCUGCCUCAUUGCCUCAUUGAUCAAUAGGGUGGAUUCCGUUGACCUGGUUGGCUACACAGGAGUUCCUUGUUUCUCUCACCACGGCCUCAGUGUGCCUUCUGAAGCUGCCCACUCUGUGGAAGAGGACUAUUUUCAGUCAAUAAAUCCUAGCAGCUGUGCUCCCUGCUAAACUUCCAAACCAGCUCUUAAGGAUAGAGGAACAUGUUUGAGGAUCUCAUGUCAGGGGCCAUAGAAAUCAUCAUCAUGACGACCCCACGGGUGGUGGGUUGCCUGCCAAG